rnacentral:misc_RNA from 1 species
GAUGAAGAACGCUGCGAAAUGCGAUACGUAAUGUGAAUUGCAGAAUUCAGUGAAUCAUCGAAUCUUUGAACGCAUAUUGCGCUCUCUGGUAUUCCGGAGAGCAUGCUUGUUUGAGUAUCAGUAAACACCUCAACUCCCUUUUCUUUUUUGAAAUUGGAGCUGGACUUGAGUGAUCCCAACGCUUUCUUCCAAGAAAGUGGCGGGUUGCUUGAAAUGCAGGUGCAGCUGAACUUUUCUCUGAGCUAUAAGCAUAUCUAUUUAGUCUGCCUAAAAAACAGAUUAUUACCUUUGCUGCAGCUAACAUAAAGGAGACUAGUUCUUGUGCUGACUGAUGCAGGAUUCACAGAGACAGCUUCGGCUGACUUUGUAAACUCGAUCUCAAAUCAAGUAAGACUACCCGCUGAACUUAAGCAUAUCAAUAAGCGGAGGA